UACCAGCACCCCGAGUGGUCGGGACGAUUAUUGGGCCUAAAGCAUCCGUAGCCGGUCCUGCAAGUCUUCCGUUAAAUCCAGCUGCUCAACAGAUGGGCUGCGGGGGAUACUACAUGGCUAGGAGGCGGGAGAGGCAAGCGGUACUUUAUGGGGUAGGGGUAAAAUCCGUUGAUCCAUAGAAGACCACCAGUGGCGAAGGCGGCUUGCCAGAACGCGCUCGACGGUG
rnacentral:rRNA from 1 species